rnacentral:rRNA from 1 species
UCACAUAGCCACCUCUCUCCCUGACAGUCACUUGGAACUCUCAUGUCUGAUCUCGGAAGCUAAGCAGUGUCGGCCCUGGUUAGCAGUUGGAUGGGAGACCACCUAGGAAGACCAGGUGCUGUAGGUG